UGUCUUUAAUAUUUGACAACCAGUAGUAACCAUUUUUUAAAAAAAAGAUGCAUUGUAUUAGUUCUGUUACACGAUUAGCUUCUCUGCACAGCUCCUAUGAGGUGUCCAGCUGCUUGUGUUUACUAUUGGCGUCAAAAGUUCCCAGACAAGAGAGCAGCAGACACCAAGCGGGGCCUAUUGUUAGAUAUGACGGAACUCGGAAUAAAUCACGACUCCAGGUGUGGCCAGAAGCUCAAGUUACAAGGGCCGGUGGAGGGGGGGGGGAGACAAGGAGCCCUUAUUCGUUCUCUUUUUGUUGGUUGUAACUUUUAGGCGAAUGUGUUCAUGUGAACAUUUGUUUUUUUUGUUGUUUUGUUGAUUGUUUGUUGGAUUGAUUUUUUCCACAACGACGUCACGGGUACACAGGCACAUUACAACAGUCUCACAAGGAAAUGUAAACAAAUGUCUUUCACGUGAUGGCAAGAAAAAAACAACGUAAUUAGACCAUUUCAUGUUAAGAAAAAAUGAAUCCUGGCAUCCCGGCACUCUUAGGUAAUCCACACCCUGCAAGCCCUUCUCGGCCUCACAGUGGCGCCUUGGUGGAAACGUUGAUUGAGAGGAAAUAAAUAAGCCGAAAGAAAUGUAAAAAAAAAAUAAACUCGCAGUCGAGUGCUAUAUUGAACCGAAUUCAUUGCACUUUUUGAGGAUGAAAGAAAGCAUUACUCUUCCAAAUUGUCCCUCGAAGAAGCCUUUUUUGUAAUGGCUACGUCCCAUUGCAAUGGUUAUCGAGGUAAGUAAAUGAUAUUGUUUCCCUUUGUGUGCUAAUCAUUCAUCCUCGCUCUCUAGUCCCUAUUGCCUAAGUAUUAAAGGCCUCGGAAACCACAGGUGUGAUAAAUUAGCACGGGCUUGGGACCAACUCAGACUUUUAGAUAUAUUUCAUCCAGCCCAAAUGAAGAUGAGUCUAACCAUUGGCCUAGGCCCUCAAGGAACAAGGUUUCUACUCUCAAGACAAUCAGAAACUGGAACAGGUGUUAGAACAAGCAAGUUGGCUUCAGAAGGUUCUCAAUGGAUUCAUCAGGUCCUCUAGGAGAAGUGUCAGAGUUAUGUCUUCAUCAGGUCAUCUAGGAGAAGUGUCAGAGUUAUGUCUUCAUCAGGUCCUCUAGGAUAAGAGUUAUGUCUUCAUCAGGUCCUCAAGGGCAAGAAUUAUGUCUUCAUCAGGUCCUCAAGGGCAAGAGUUCUGUCUUCAUCAGGUCCUCUAGGGCAAGAGUUAUGUCUUCAUCAGGUCCUCUAGGACAAGAGUUGUGACUUUGCAUGCUCAACUUCAUGCUUUAAAUAAGACUUCAGUCCUCCAAUGUAUAAUUUCAAGGAGUUAAGUCAAGAGGCUGGCAGCUAACACAGUAAGGAGAGAGAGAGAGAGAGAGAGAUAAACAUCUACAAAUUUUCAGCUUCUGUUAUUUAGAUAUUUCUUUUUCUUUCAUUUUAGAGGAAGGUGAAUGAAAGGAGGGCGUAGGGUUUCGUUCUACAAUAGUGGGGAAAAAAUCAUAUAAACAAAACAUGAAAGAACCACGUAUUGAGUAUUAAAUAUUUGUAUGCAGCCAUGCGAGAGAGCGCGUGUUUGUAUUAGUGUAAGAGAGACGCGGAGAGCGAGAGAGAGAGAGAGAGAGAGAGGCAGUAUGUACAUACUUAAGUGUGAUGUGUAACUGUGUAUGUAGUAACAACAUGUGUGAGAGGGGGAGGGGGGAAAGAUAAGUAAAAUCAAUACAUUAAACACGCAAUAAGACAAACAACAUUAGACAAUGGCGAAGACCAAA
rnacentral:sRNA from 1 species